rnacentral:lncRNA from 1 species
AACAGUAAGUAAUUUAUCUUGCCCAGAGAGGUUUAUGGAUGCUCCAUUCCUGGAGGCAUUCAAGGCCAGGCUAGAUGUAGCUCUGGGCAGCCUGGUCUAGUGGUUGGCAAUCCUGCACAUAGCAGAGGGGUAGAAACUAGAUGAUCGUUAUUGUCCUUUCAACCCAGGCCAUUCUGUGAUUCUAAGAUCUUAGAAGUGACGCUGGAGUUUGGAUGUUGCCGGGAUACAACAUCAGCUUGGUUAAAUAGACUGAGCAGUGUGGAAAUCUAUGUAAAAGUCUUCAUAAGGGCAGCUGCUUUUGGGGAGCAACUAACAGGUAGUAAGAAACAAAAACAUGAAGAGCAGGUGUAAAUCACAUACCUUACUUGUUUUUGUAACUGAGAAAGAGUGAAUUUACAAAAGGCAGAGUAUAUGAGGUGCAAUAGAAUGGAGAAAUGCAGUAAAACACUUGUGGACCAAGACCAAGGAUCCCAGGAUAGUUUGGUGCAGGAGAAUGUUCUCAUGACAGCAAUUAUGGGGAAGAGCGGUCCUGUGCCCCUUGUGAUCUCAGACAUUGUCCUGGAUUCUUGACUAAAAUGCAAGAUCAGACACGCAGAUGACUAGGGAUUCAUUCUGGUUCUACUAAUGAUUUUGUCUGCAAUCCUGAGAAGUGUUACCCUUUUUGCCAAUUUCCACAUGAGUAAUAUGAGAAAUUCCAAUUAAUGAUUCUGUAAAGCUUUAUGAUAAAAAAUUAAAUGCACAAGAUACUUUCAGAAC